AGCUUGCACAGGUGCUGCAUGGCUGUCGUCAGCUCGUGUCGUGAGAUGUUCGGUUAAGUCCGCUAACGAGCGCAACCCUCGUCGUGUGUUAUACGUGUCACACGAUACUGCCGGCAUCAAGCCGGAGGAAGUGGGGAUGAUGUCAAGUCAGCAUGGCCUUUAUAUCCUGGGCUACACACACGCUACAAUGGCAGAUACAAUAGGUCGCUAAACCGCGAGGUGGAGCCAAUCCUCAAAGUCUGUCUCAGUUCAGAUUGUAGGCUGCAACUCGCCUGCAUGAAGUCGGAGUUGCUAGUAAACGCAGGUCAGCUAUACUGCGUUGAAUACGUUCCCGGGGUUU
rnacentral:rRNA from 1 species